rnacentral:rRNA from 1 species
UGGCGAACUGGUGAGUAACACGUGGGUGAUCUGCCCUGCACUCUGGGAUAAGCCUGGGAAACUGGGUCUAAUACCGGAUAGGACCAUGCUUUAGUGUGUGUCGUGGAAAGUUUUUUCGGUGUAGGAUGAGCCCGCGGCCUAUCAGCCUGUUGGUGGGGUAAUGGCCUACCAAGGCGGCGACGGGUAGCCGGACUGAGAGGUUGGUCGGCCACAUUGGGACUGAGAUACGGCCCAG